rnacentral:rRNA from 1 species
CGGUCCAGACUCCUACGGGAGGCAGCAGUAGGGAAUCUUCCGCAAUGGACGAAAGCUGACGGAGCAACGCCGCGUGAGUGAUGAAGGUUUUCGGAUCGUAAAACUUCUGUUAUUAGGAAGAACAAAUGCGUAAGUAACUGUGCGCAUCUUGACGGUACCUAAUCAGAAAGCCACGGCUAACUACGUGCCAGCAGCCGCGGUAA